rnacentral:rRNA from 1 species
UGGGGAAUCUUGCACAAUGGGGGAAACCCUGAUGCAGCGACGCCGCGUGAGUGAUGAAGCCCUUCGGGGUGUAAAAGCUCUUUCGGCAGGGACGAUAAUGACGGUACCUGCAGAAGAAGCUGCGGCUAACUACGUGCCAGCAGCCGCGGUAAUACGUAGGCAGCAAGCGUUGUUCGGAAUUACUGGGCGUAAAGAGUGCGUAGGCGGUUUGGCAAGUUUGGUGUGAAAUCUCCUGGCUUAACUGGGAGGGUGCGCCGAAAACUGUCAGGCUAGAGUGUGGGAGAGGAAAGCGGAAUUCCUGGUGUAGCGGUGAAAUGCGUAGAUAUCAGGAGGAACACCUGCGGUGUAGACGGCUUUCUGGACCACUACUGACGCUGAGGCACGAAAGCGUGGGGAGCAAACAGGAUUAGAUACCCUGGUAGUCCACGCCCUAAACGAUGCGGACUUGGUGUUGGCCCUUCAUUGGGUCAGUGCCGCAGUUAACGCGGUAAGUCCGCCGCCUGGGGAGUACGGUCGCAAGGCUGAAACUCAAAUGAAUUGACGGGGUCAUAGCUGUUUCCUG